rnacentral:piRNA from 1 species
UGUCAAGAGUUGUUCACAAAU